UACGUAGGGUGCGAGCGUUAAUCGGAAUUACUGGGCGUAAAGAGUGCGUAGGCGGUUCGUUAUGUCUGCUGUGAAAGCCCCGGGCUUAACCCGGGAAUGGCAGUGGAAACUGGCGGGCUUGAGUGUGGCAGAGGGGGGUGGAAUUCCGCGUGUAGCAGUGAAAUGCGUAGAGAUGCGGAGGAACACCGAUGGCGAAGGCAGGUCACUGGGCCGCAACUGACGCUGAGGAGCGAAAGCAUGGGGAGCGAACAGG
rnacentral:rRNA from 1 species